UGCGGUUGAAAAGCUCGUAGUCGGAGAUCUGCACUAAAGACGAUGUCUACCCAGCGGGUAUGUCAUCAAUAACUUGCGUGCAUCCUUCUGGGGACACGGUUUCCACUUGAUUGUGGAAUCGCUGACUUCAGAACCUUUACUUUGAGGAAACGAGAGUGUUUCAAGCAGGUGCCAGCCGUGGAUAUGUUAGCAUGGAAUAACAGUAUCGAACCGUCGUGUAGCUCUUGGUGUGCAGCGACGGUAAAGGUAAAAAGGGACAGUUGGGGGUAUUCGUAUUCAACUGUCAGAGGUGAAAUUCUUGGAUUUGUUGAAGACGGACUACUGCGAAAGCAUUUGCCAAAGAUGUUCUCAUUGAUCAAGAACGAAAGUUAGGUGAUCGAAGACGAUCAGAUACCGUCCUAGUCUUAACCAUAAACUAUGCCAACUGGAGAUGGGGACUGAUCAUUCUGUGACACUUUCUGCAUCUUGAAAAAAAUCAAAGUCUUUGGGUUCCGGGGGGAGUAUGGUCGCAAAGCUGAAACUUAAAGAAAUUGACGGAAGGGCACC
rnacentral:rRNA from 1 species